GUGGUGGUUUGUCACAUAGGUAGGCGGGUGCUUUGUUACAUAGGUACGUGGGUGCCGUGGUGGUUCGUUACAUAGGUACGCGGGUGCCGUGGUGGUUCGUUACAUAGGUACGCGGGUGCCGUGGUGCUUCUUUACAUAGGUAGGCAUGUGCCAUGGUGGUUUGCUGCACCUGCUGCACCUGUUGACCCGUCCUCUAAGUUCCCUCCCUCACCCUCCACCCCUCAACAGACCCCGGUGUGUGUUGCUCCUACUUGAGGCGUUUUUCAUUUACCAGUUGACCAUUCCUAGAGGAAGGUCAUAUACCAGUUAAACUCCACUAUUUUGCUUCUUGGUGCCACGUUUGAGCCCACUCACCCAGCUCCUGAAAUCUUAUCAGAAGCUGCUGAUCACCAGCGUCAGAGCUUGGGAAAAUGACCUCUCAAAAUUUAGAAGACUGGAUGUCACUGACUACCAAAUGAUGAUCACUUUUGAAUGAACAAAAAUCCUUCAGAACUAAGGCAAAUCCUGUGAUCAAUGGAAAUACAGUGGAAGUGACGCUGUCCAAAUCCAGGAGUAGUCCUUUAGAGAAACUGGAGGCUUCUUCAUGUUCCUGCCUCACAUACACACUUCUUCUGUUGUUUUCUCUUCAAUUCAGCAAUGGUGCUAUGAGAAGCUCAUACAUCAAAGAAAAGACAUGUGUAAGCACUUGGAUCAUAGCCCCAGAUGACACUCAGUCGAUAGAAAACAUUGACUGGCAUCCAUGUUGGUGAAACAGCUUGGACAUGCAGCCUUUCCCAGAUGAGAUGGGUCCAACCACUUCUGACUGCAAACGCAUGAGCAACCUUAAGCAAGGACUGCCUAGCUCAUUCCCAUCUACCCACUCAACUAGGAGAGAUGACAAAUCAUCGUCUUAAGUCACCAAGUUUUGGCAUCAUUUGUUAAACAAUAAACCAGAACACCCACUGAAAA